UACGAAGGGGGCUAGCGUUGUUCGGAUUUACUGGGCGUAAAGCGCGCGUAGGCGGUUUGUUAAGUCUGGGGUGAAAUCCUGGAGCUCAACUCCAGAACUGCCUUUGAUACUGGCAAUCUUGAGUCCGGAAGAGGUGAGUGGAACUCCUAGUGUAGAGGUGGAAUUCGUAGAUAUUAGGAAGAACACCAGUGGCGAAGGCGGCUCACUGGUCCGGUACUGACGCUGAGGCGCGAAAGCUAGGGGAGCAAACGGG
rnacentral:rRNA from 1 species